AGCUACAAUCCCGAGAGCUCCCACGUGUCAGGGGUGCGCAGACGGUAGGCGCGGGGUGCAGGACUCCAAUUAUCAAUUCAGCCGAGCCCAGCGCUGGUAAAGGGGGCGUUUAGCUCGCCCGUUUCCUCCCUCCUCAAUCCCCACACAGUCAGUUUCUCGGUCCAAGUUUUACUGGUGCGGCCCAGCCCUACCGAGAGUACCCGAAUACACGUCUGCAGAGGACGCGGGCAUUGGGCCGGGUGAGCUACGAUGUUCUAACGAUCAGCAAAUGCCAAUUAAUCUGUUAAUUGUCUAUUAACAAUUAUUACUCGGUAAAUGUCAACCCAGACCUACACCCAAAGUGGGCUUGAGGGAGGGUGGACGAAGUGUAAACAUUUUUUCUUUUUUUUUUUUAAAUGAGAGAUGCCGCCCGCCUCUCCGGGCCUGCGAGUGGGCUGGCGGAUACCGGAGUCCCUGAGGUCACCGGCGGAGGUACGUGGGCUGUCCCUGGGCUUACCUUACAGGGAAACAGGACUGCCGAGGCCACCUUCUCCAUAGCCAGGUUCCUGAUGCUGGGCGUCAGGGCGCCCCUGCACGUCGGGCAGCAGCUCAACUUCUGGCGGCAUUGGUUACACACCAGGUGCCCGGCCUGGCACUGCAGAAUAGGAGGCAGGACAUAGUCAAAGCAGACCGGACACUCGAAGAGCGAGGU
rnacentral:lncRNA from 10 species